UACAGAGGGGGCAAGCGUUAUUCGGAAUUAUUGGGCGUAAAGGGCGCGUAGGCGGCUUGCAAGUGACGGGUGAAAUCCCUCGGCUUAACCGAGGAACUGCCUGUCAGACUGCAUGGCUUGAGACCGGGAGAGGGCAGUGGAAUUCCCGGUGUAGCGGUGAAAUGCGUAGAUAUCGGGAGGAACAUCAGUGGCGAAGGCGGCUGCCUGGCCCAAUACUGACACUCAGGUGCGACAGCGUGGGGAGCAAACAGG
rnacentral:rRNA from 1 species